GCAUCAAUUUCAUUCGCUAAUGGGGAGCAAAUCUCCUCGAGGUGGUGAAAGGGUGCAGAAGUGGGAGGGAGGAGAGCAUGCAAAACUCAAGGACCAUCCCCCCAUCCCUGACAAUCUGGGGCGUCCCCUACAAGGCCGUGCAUUCGGUCUUUGAGUCCGAGGCAGGGACCUCACCCUGAGCCUCUCUGCUAAUGGUUAUGUUAUCAAAGGUCUCAGGAGCCUUGACAGGGACAUCCUGCCCCUCCUGCGCCUCCUCCAAGUCCUCGCAGCACUUGCUGCAGCGGCAGCACUUGGGGCAGUCACACAGCAAGCAGCACGCGCGGCAGCACACGCGGCAGCAGCAGCAGCAGCGCAUCUGGAAGCAGCCGGUGAACUUGGAGACGACGGCAUCCCAGGGCUUCAGCGAGCGCAUCCACAGCGGCAGGAAGUUCCAGUUCUGGAGUUUCUUCGGCAGGACGCGUGGGCAGCGAGACUGCAGGAGUCGGAGGCACAGUACCAGGAUGAUGAUGAAGACGACGGGAACCCCGACACCAACCAGCACCCGCCAGCCGGCCAGCGAGAGGCCAAACACCGUCAGCGGGAUCAGGAAGAAGAAGAUGAUCAGGUAGAAGACGGCGAACCAGCGAUACUUGGCAGAGAUGUUGCCCAGCCCCUUGGCCAUGCGGAUGGGCAGGCGAGUGAACGGGAUCGGGUACCACAGCAAGAUGCCGGAGAUGUUGAAGAAAAAGUGGCACAGGGCGAUCUGCAACACAAGAGGUUGGACAGAAAGUGCUGAGAGCAUGCUUCCUCGCCUGCCCUGGUCUCCUGUCAGCACCCACAUUUGACCUUCAACCUUCAUUUCUGCCUUAAAGAGCAUCAAGAAACUGUAGCAGCUUGGAACAUGCCUGCCAACUGAGUCCUCCAC
rnacentral:lncRNA from 1 species